rnacentral:rRNA from 1 species
GAUGAACGCUGGCGGCGUGCCUAAUACAUGCAAGUCGAGCGAACAGACCAGGAGCUUGCUCCUCUGACUUUAGCGGCGGACGGGUGAGUAACACGUGGAUAACCUAACUAUAAGACUUGGAUAACUUCGGGAAACCGUAGCUAAUACCGGAUAAUAUAUUGAACCGCAUGGUUCAAUAGUAGAAUACGGUUUUUCUGUCACUAAUAGAGGGAUCAGCACCGCAUUAGCUAGUUGGUAAGGUAACGGCUUAGCAAGGCAACGAUGCGUAGCCGACAUGAAAGGGAGAACGGUCAGCCUGUAUGUGAGACUGGGCAGAGACUCCUACGGGAGGCAGCAGUAGGGAAUCUUACGCAAUGGGCGAGAGCCUGACGUAGCAACGCCGCGUGAGUGAUGAAGGUCUUCGGAUCGUAAAGUUCUGUUAUUAGGGAAGAACAAAUGUGUAAGUACCUAUGCUCGUCUUGACGGUACCUAAUCAGAAAGCCACGGCUAACUCCGUG